rnacentral:lncRNA from 1 species
GGGAUGUUGUAUUGACCAGCAACAAAACUUGUUCAGAGGAGGAACAUGACAAUUAGAUACCCUGGUGGAUUCUAACUAAUUAGUUUUGAAAUUUAAGCAAAGGAAUACUUCAGUUAUUGGAAAAGCUAAGUGUAAUUGCAGCUAUUUCGUUACCUGAAAUUUAAAAUGUAGCCCGUAAGGAUUUUAAUUUUCCUAAACUUGCCCUCCUGCAGGAAAAAGAACUAGUUCAACUCUGACAUAAGAUAGGUGAAUGCCACUUUUGUUAAGAGAGACCCUGGCUUUUUUUCAAGGUGAGACGAAAUGAACUGCUGUGAGGUUCUUCUCAAAGGUGUAAAAUCUCUGGAAUAAUCCAGAAUGUAGCCUUUUUAACAUAAUAACCUUUAAGCUCUUUCCUUGUGCAAGAUUUUCCGUUUAUUCCCCACCCCCCGCUAGAACACACCUCUGAUUUUAUAAUGCCAGUCAUUGAAAAACAGCAUUUAUUAGAUAAACAUUCCCUUUGGACAUACCUGUUGGCAGGGUCAGGAGUCCGGCCCGGGAUCGCACCCCACGGGGUCACGUAGGUGCCGUGUGCAGAGGCCGCCGACCGGGAUGCGGGCUCCUGGGGAUGGGGCCAUCCUGGGGCUGUGACGCCAAAUCAGAGCCUCUCUUCAUUUUCUUCUCUCCAGGAAGGCCCUUUUGUCUACUUGUCGUUUGCGGGAAGCGUUGCGGAUUCCGAAGGCUUGAUUGCUUCCUUGUGGAAAGAAUAUGGCAAAGCCGACGCGAGAUGGCUCUAUUUCGACCCAACCAUUGUGUCCUUGGAAGUUCUGACUGUUGUCCUGGAUGGGUCCCUGGCCUUGGUCCUCGUUUAUGCCAUAGUCACAGAGAAGUAUUACCGGCACUUCAUACAGGUGACGCUGUGCGUGUGUGAGUUGUACGGCGGCUGGAUGACCUUCGUCCCAGACUGGCUCAUGGGAAGCCCCAACCUCAACACCGACGACUGGCUCUACUUUGGGGUCUACCUGGUAUUUUUCAACAGCGUGUGGGUUCUGAUCCCAGGACUGUUACUGUGUCAGUCGUGGGUGGAACUCAAGACCAUGCAUUACGGCCGGAGCGGCUCACGGGAGAAGCUGCAGUGACGCCUCCGAGUCGCAGCGCUGCUGUCCUCGGGGAGCCGGGGACAGGCCCCGCGUGUGGCGGCCUAGCGCUCCGCGUGCCGUCGCCUCCCACGCCUGCUCCUAAACGACCUGUUUCCAAUUGAUCGGUCGGUGGCAAGUGUUUGUUAUUGUUGUUUUUGUUCUUAUUUCAAUUCAGCGACAGUGCGGGGAACAGAGAGUCCAGUUUAGCUUGUAGUAGUAGCCCCUUUCCGUACGUGCCCUGAGCUAGCCCAGGUGUCCCACAGCAAUAAAGCCAAGUAUCAGAGAAUCCCGUAGAGCCUG